UUGAGGGGGAGGGAGGAGAGCGAUCUGGCAUCCCAGCCACGUCCAUUUUGUUCUGAAGUGUAGUUUCUCAUCUGAAGGACGAUGUGUUUAGCUGAGAGAAGUUUGUCACCGGAUGCGUGUGAGGCUGUUUCCCUACUUGGCUAAUCUCGGACGCUUUAAUUGCCUGUGUUGCGAUGUGAUGCGAUGAGCUGAAUGGAGCGGAGCGGGUGGUUUUGUGGCGACACUGUCGGCCCGUCGGCAUCUCGAGCGCGAGCGCCGUCUCCGUGGUAACGGCUAGCAUCCGAGUCCUUUUGCGUCCUGUGGCAGCUGGCGCGUCCUGGGCAGCGACGGGGACACGGAGCGGGAGCUGGACUCCAGCCCGGGGAGCGAGGGCAGACAGAGAGCGAGAGAGAGAGGGACAGAGAGAGAGAGAGAGCGCUCGCAGGGCAGGCACAGCACAGACACUGUACAGGUAAAGAGGAAAUGGACGCCGAGAGCCAGACGAUGAGAGGACUGUGUGCUACUCUAACCAAACCCCGCCGCUGCAGGAACACAGCACCCCCCUCAGACUGCAGAGCGCUUCUGGUCCCCACAAGGAUCGCAUGUACACGGGACGUACACACAAUACACACACACACACACACACACAUACACACAAUCCACAAUACACACACACAUACGCGUACCUACACAUAUGCACGCAGACUACACACACACACACACACACUACACAUACAUACACACACACACACUUCCUUCAAACCCCCUACUCAUGAUGUAAGCUGCCUUCAGCAGAGGAGAAUGGGCGCACAGGGGAGAGCAUUUGGAGUGGUUCGCCUAAAGGUUUAAAUGGAUUUUUAAAAUAUUGGCCUCAAAUGAAUUGCUUAUCACAGUUUUAAUCCGGUUUAAAGUUACUUAUUCAAUCUCAGAUUUGGUUUUCUGUCUGAAAAUGUUUAAGGGGACGUAUUAUUGUGGUUACCAUUUAUUUUUUUAUGUUAUUAUUUGCAUUUGUAAAUAGCAGUUUACAUAAUGGUAAACUGAGCAUCUGAGCCAUCAGUGAAUUUCCGAAAGAACGUGAAGCCAAAUACUAGUAUGUGUGUUGGGUACGUAUUCGGGUAUGUGUGUUUGGUACGGAUAUGGGUUUGGGUCCGUGCGUUGGGUACGGUUGCGGGUACGUGUGUUGGGUGUGGGUGUGGUUGUGUGUGAGGGUACGGCUGUUGGGUACUUGUAUGGGUGUGGGUGCGUGUGUUUGAUACGUGUGUUUGGUAUGUGUGCGGUUCGUGUGCAUGGGUUAGAUACGUGUGUUUGGUAUGUGUUCAGGUGCGUGUGUUGGGUACGUGUGUUUGGAAUGUGUGCGGGUGUUGGGAACAUGUGUUUGGUAUGUGUGCGGGUGCGUGUGUUGGGUACGUGUGUUUGGUAUGUGUGCGGGUGUUGGGUACAUGUGUUUGGUAUGUGUGCGGGUGUUGGGUACAUGUGUUUUGAACGUGUGCGGGUACGUGUGUUGGAUACGUGUGUUUGGUACGUGUGCGGGUGCGUGUGUUGGAUAUGUGCGUUUGGUACGUGUGCGGGUACGUGCACAGGGCUGUGUUUUAGCACACUGGGCUCUAUGGUGCAAAGCAGUUCACCCUGUCGUAGGGCAACCUUCCAGUCUCUGCCUGGUAAAAUACUGGCCUGCUCGAGCAUGUGAUCGAAUGCGCUGACUUAGCCCCCUGAUCCAUCCAGAAACCCAGCCAAACGGACAAGAAACUGUCCCACCCUCCAGACACCGGCUCACCCAGAUUGAUUGACUGCUUUUUAUAAAAAAAUCUGUUAUCUCGGACCACCCAAAAUGUGUGUGUACUCACUCACCCCAUGGUUUUACCUGUUUAUGGAAGGGGCAGAGGGACAAAAAGCCUUUUCAGGAAACGGGGUGGAGAGAGACUCUCGAUUUGCAGACGUCUGUCUGUUUGCUCUUCUACAUCGGUGGCUCCUUCUCGAUCCUGUCUGAUCUGCUGUCAGUCUGCCCAGCGGGAUCCUCCCUUGUGUUCAAUGCAAUUAGCUCUUCACCUACAUUGCAAUCGACUGGGGAAAAUGGGGGGGAACUUCCUCCAGCAGGUUAUUCUUCCUUUCUAUUAAGUUUCCUUUUCAGAGGCCUUUAUUAACAUAGUGCAGAUUUUACAUUUUUGUAAUGAAGAGGAAGUGUACAAAAAGAAAUGUCUACCCCCCCCACCUCCUUCCCAGAGGGGGGAGGGUUAUUAAUUACCACAGUUAUCUAUUAUGCUGAAAAAAAAAAAAAAAAAAAGAUUUUCGAUAAAUAUUUUAAAAGGACGGAUUUUAGACUGCCACUCAUAUUUGACAGGUUUAAAAACAGUUCAGGACUGUUGGCAUUUUUAAGGAUUGGAAAAAUGUUUUUUAAGACAUUUGAACUUUUCUUUCCCGUUUUUGUUCAUUUUUAGUGAAAUUGCAUAUGUUGCAUCGAUUCAAGUUGUUCCUUUUUUUUGUGUGUGUAGAUGUAUUUGGCUGUUUUACACAUGAUCAUAUUUAAUUUCGAUAUGUUUUUGUUUCCCUUUUUGCAGAAAAUAAAUGCUUUUAGACGUGAA